rnacentral:lncRNA from 10 species
CUUUCUCCCAUUUGAGGAGAGACAUUUGUUCAAGACACUUUUUUUCUCCUCUCACUGACAAUACGUAAGGCAGAAAGUUGGUGUCUACGUUGCUGCAUGGCUGCAGAAUAGAUUGUUUCGAGAAGGUGAACUCUGGAAAGGCAUAGCCAAUUCAUGGUGAAUGGAAGACCUGUGUGUCACUUCUGGGCUGCAAUAUUUAAUUACAAGUCUGAACUGUCCAGAACGAUCUUCCUCCUUCCAAAGAGAUCUUGGAAGCACAUGUUGCAAUAGAGCUUGUGAGCUUCUAGUUCACUGAAUGACUCAUUGAAUAGAGUUCUUUCGACAACCAGAAAAUGGGCAUAAGGGAAAAUAAACUUUUUUUUUCUGUUAAACAUAUGAGAUUUGGGAGCUUUUUAUACCACAGCAUUACCUGACCUAUCUAAGUGAUAGAGUGAGAGUCAAUAAGAAUCAAUAUUCAUAAAUCAGACUCGCCUAUAAUUUUCAUUUGUCAAACUAUCCUUUUCUAGUGUCAGAUAACGUUGCACUGUUUUCAUAGAAUAAUAUACAUUUUCAUAUCUUUGGAUGAAUUUUAUGAUCUUGGAAUGAUGUACUCCUUUUACAUCUGCUAAAUCUCAAGUGUAAAUUUUUUUUUUUUUAGUUUGUGGGAAGAUUUUAGCAAAUGUUCAUGUUGAAGGCUUUUUCUAACUUUCCUAAGUUCUUUGAAGAGAUAAUGCUAGUAUUUCAUAUAAAGAAGAUAUGUAGAAAAGCGAUUUGAGAAUGGAGAUAAAAAGAAUCAAAUGUUUACUCAUGCUGAGAAAUGGCAGAUCCUUGGGCUGCAGAAAGAGAGGAUGGGAUUUGUUCGUUGUUCUCUGACCUUACCUUAGGAAAUUUG